AAUGUAUUGGGGUUUGCUCAUCAUUCUCGUCUUUGUUUUUGGGUUGGAUUCAGGCUCUGUAGACUCCAAAAUUCUGGCCAAGAGAAUUGCCACUUGGGCUGGAAAGGGGGAAAUAACAAGAUGAAUUUUGCAGCUCCACUUGACCUUUAGCUACCAUGAAAACGAGGGAAAAGAAUCUUAUAACAUGCAGGAAAUAAAAGGAGAAUUGAAGAGAGUUUGAAGAAACAGAAGAGAAUUUGAAGUAGAUUUCAAAGGUUGAAGGGAAAGGUGUCCCAGUUUGUCUUCUAGUGCAACUGAAUAUAAUUCAGCUGGAAUUGGUUGUAUCAUCAAGCUUAAUGGGCUGCUCCAUGAUUAUGCCCCACUAUGAACUGAUCCAGGUAGUAACCCAUGGGAAGAACAUCCAGGUAACUGGUCCACCUCAACCCAAAGCCACCUAAUGUGGAAAUUGCACUUUUCAAAAGGUCGGCCUUUCAAACUACCAAAGUAUUUUUAUGUUACACCAUGAGGCCUAAAACCCGAAGCCAUUACAGACUCCGGUCUUGGAGCAACCUGAACCAGAUCCACUAAAGCCCGACCUCAAUUGAAAUAGUUAGGGUUUGCACACCCUAACUCUCACCCCUUCUCUCCUCAAUGCCACAUGUCCCUCAGCAGCCAAAUGCGCAUGGAGCGGUCAAACUAACGGCAACCCCCGAGUUCUUCGACGUCGUGGAUUUAUGGGACACAAAAACAAACUGUCGAGACGUUUCUCUGCUCGGCGACGGAAAAUGCAAAU